UUUCUUUUUCUUUCUUUCAGUUUCUCAGUUUCUCUAGUGGUAGUAGCGGCCGCUUCUUCUUCUUCCUCUCAGUCACAGACUCAGAUUCUCACUUUCUCAGUUUCAGUAUCGUUCAUGAUCAUCGAACACAAGAACAACAACAAGUAACUGAAGCAAUAUGGAAGAACCAAGUCAAGACACACAUCAAACUGGAGUUGGAUCAUCUAAUGUACCUAGUCAAUCUACAACUGGGGAAGGAUAUACUAGCAACGUCGGUGUCUUCUGUUGCAUCGGAAUCAACAUUCAGCACUGGAAAGCGUGUGCUUAGUCCUUAGAGAAGCUCUUUAUCUCCUAGGACAGUUGAAGCAUUGUUAUGCACACAAAGCUGGCUACAAAAGCCAAUUGCUCUUGAUCUUCUAUCGGACUAUGUACCAGAUGAUUUCUCAAGCAUUGAGGAAGCAAUAUUGGGUGCUUAUCCAGUAUCAGAGGAGUUUGAUGAUCCAAUGAUGCUUGACUAAUGAAGUAAUGAUUGUUGAAGUUCAUAUCUUGUUGCAGACUUGAGAUGGAAAGGAAAUAUGGUCUAUGGAAGUGCUGGUUUACAUUUAACACUUUAUGUUAAUUUUUGAACAUUAAGUGUUAUGUUAGUUGGUCACUUGGUCUUGAUCUUGAAGAACUUAAGCAGUUGGAUGAUUGCAGUACUCUUGCAGACUUGGCAGACUUGCAGUAACUUACUUUGAACUUAUGUCAUACUUUGAAGUUGGUUUUUAUCAGUUUAUGGAAUUAUGUUAGUUGGUUUUAAAGAACUUAUGUUAAUUAUGUCUAUGUUGUUAUGUUAUUAUGCUGUAUGAAUGGUUGUGGCA